rnacentral:lncRNA from 1 species
UUUGUAGCUGUAACAGAAUUUAAGUAGCUACUUUCUGAAAGAAAAAGUCAGUUUAACAAGACCCUAAUUUGAGAAUGUUUAAUUCUAUAAAUACAUUAUUAUGGCGACAGAGCAUAAAGUACAAAGUUCCCUAUGCUUAAGGAACCACUAAUAGAUUUGCCGAAAUAUCAAGGCACGAGGCACUGGCCUAUUCAGCUAAAACAGAAGUUCGUAUAAUUGGGAGUUAAGGCCAAGACACCAUUCAUAUGCCUCUUAUGCUCGAAGGCUAUGACCUUUAAACCUUUGUCUUUCUUCAAUCUCUCCCAUCUUUUAAAUACCCUAUAUACUCGUAAGUUGUUAGAAACCAGUACCAUCUUUUAAAGUCCUGGCAACUGUACCGUAUUUUAAUAAACACCAUUCCCUAAUUGAUUUGCUUCUGAAAUAGAUUACUGAAUACCUUUCAAACAUUGAACAUGAAGAGACAAAAAACUCUCUUAAUGGCAGUGAUUUUAGUAAAAUCGAUGGAUGUUUUGGCUAUCAUCACCUAAGUGUCUACCAUGACCAAACACUGAUGUCACCAUUUAAGUAACAAAACAAAUCAGGAAGUUUUGCUAAAUGAGAACUAAAUUUGCCUAGCCCUCCUUCCUUAUCUGGUUUGAUGCAAACAAUUUCCCUCUCAGCAAUAUAUUUACUUUCUAGAUGUAAGAGAAAAACUGAAAAUUUACAUCCUGACAUCCACUGUGAUGCAGAGGUGGACCUGACAAUUUGGACAAGUCAGUCUCUUUCAUCUUCCUAUGUCAGUUCGAAUGGGCUUUUAAGGUAAACUACUAUCUAAACUUUUUUUUUUUCAAUUACAAAGCUAAAAGAUGACCCGUAUUAAUAGCUUAACAGGAAACAAAGUUUUGCUGAAAAACAUUUUUGUGGAUAAGCGGGGCUUCAAAAGUUGGUUAAAUUACUUAGUAUUAGACACCCACAUAUUGGGUGACAAAUUGGUCUAAACUGACCUUAGAAAAGGCAGUUGUAGUGGCAGGUUUCUAGAACCUGACAGGUCGCCGAUAUUAGUAUCUAAUAGCAGUCCUCUGAUCUAGGAGGAAAAAUUAAACGUGUCUCUCUUGAUACUUAGUGGAGUCAGUAAACAAUGUCCUCAGUCUGCGAAUGACUGAUACUAAGAACCACACCUUCAAUUUUCUAGCUCAGGCCCUGGUUUCCCUCCUCCCACUUCCCUCCCAACCCAGGCAGGUUAUUACAGACAAGCAGGCAGUUACGUUGCUUCAAAAUAUUUAAUACGUGUUAGACACGUAGAAGUUACAUUUUUAUACAAAAAUCAAUACAACGAAGGAGAAAAUACUGUACAAAAACCUUAUCAGCUCCCCCAACCUUUAUACAACAAAGACUGGAGUCACCAUAUCUACAAAACCAUAAGGUCUUUCCACUUCGGGCUUCUGUCUGUAAACUCUCAUUAAACACUUUUUAAAAGCACUGUGUAGUACUUCUGACCUAGAGCUUUUAAAAAUAUAUCUUUUCUCUAUAAACUCCAUUAUUUCCAAGCUUGAACUCUUCUGUGAAGUUCGUCAAGCUUUUUCUCCCCUGCGGGGAAGCAAAGGACCGUUAAUACGCCCCUUUCCUAGAGUAAUCACAGGAUAUAAACGUUUCUUCAUUGGGAGAGAAAGGUGGGGAGGGACAGAAGGAAUCCAAGUCUGUGCUCUUGGCUAAAUCCCUCUCGUCUUAGGAAAUCCUGUGCGGAAACGCCACUCCUGGCCCUGAAGCGGGUCUAGCUUUCCGGUGAGGGGUAGGUGUAAAGUCCCUCCCUCCCCGGAGAACGAAUGGGGAACUCCCCGGCCCAAACCUUUUAGCCGCUUCCUUCUCCACGCAGCCGGCAGAGGAAAGUCCCUGUCUGCCCCCAAUCUCUUAAACCCUGGGGAAGGAGUGGUGCAUUCCAGAAGAGCAAAAUAGUCUUAAUGCCACAAGACAAACUUACAUACACAGACAUACACAAACACAAAAGUUAACGAUCGUCCUCUUCCAAUGAGCCUCAAGCUCCCAGGUCUCCAGAUAAGCCAGAUGCGCCCGGGGGCAGUUUGCGAUGCCCAGAGGCAACCAGUCUGCCCAACGCGCUCAGCGCCCGCGGUCUCUGGGCGUCCUCGCAGCCGGGAAGGGCCUGGCCCUCACUUCGGGGACGCCCGCUGCUCCACCUCCUCCCCGCAGGGGGGCCAAGGGCUCAGAAGGCCACGAUGGCUGUGCUCCAGGGGUUCAUGUCUCUCAGCACCGGCUUAUCGCAGCAGAUCUGCCCGGGCUCGGCGGCUUCCGGACCGCUCUCCUCUCCCUCCUCUUCCUCUCUGCCGCCCCCGGGGCUUUUCCGUAGGAGUCCCGAGAAACUGGAACCGAAGAUGCUGAUGAGGUUAGCCACGUUCCCGGUCUCCAUCUCCUCCGCGUCGUCGUCCUCUCCUCCACUCGGCGGCUGCUCUAAGUUCCGGCGGGGCUUCUUGAGCGGGGUCGAGCCGGGCAGCUUCCGUCGCGUCCGCCUCUCCGCCCUGAAAAACGUCCCCGACUCC